UACGAAGGGGGCUAGCGUUGCUCGGAAUCACUGGGCGUAAAGCGCACGUAGGCGGCUUUUAAGUCAGGGGUGAAAUCCUGGAGCUCAACUCCAGAACUGCCUUUGAUACUGAGAAGCUUGAGUCCGGGAGAGGUGAGUGGAACUGGCGAGUGUAGAGGUGAAAUUCGUAGAUAUUCGCAAGAACACCAGUGGCGAAGGCGGCUCACUGGCCCGGUACUGACGCUGAGGCACGAAGGCCAGGGGAGCAAACGGG
rnacentral:rRNA from 1 species